CGUGCCAAAUGAAAACAUCACUUCCGAACUAGAGGAGGUUCCGGUUCUUUCGUAAAUACUUCUCCUCUUUGCUGAGAAUGUAUCUUGCUUCCUUGUUGUCUUGAUCUUAAGUGAAAAACUUCCUUGAAAAUAAGCCGAAAAAAUGCCUUCGAACUACCAUUGGCAGAGUAAGGGCAAUGUUAAAGCGAGUGGGGUGGAAGAUAUGGUUCUUCUGCCGAAGAUCCAAGAAGCGGCGAUCGUGGAGAACCUAAAGAAACGUUAUAUGGACGACCUUAUUUUCACCUACAUUGGUCCAGUGUUGAUCUCUGUCAACCCAUUCAAACAAAUGCCAUACUUUACAGACAAAGAGAUUGACCAGUAUCAGGGAGCUGUGAGUAAAAACAUCUUGUCCUGAAGACACUAAUUAAAGCCUGGUUUUCACCAUGAUAUAAGCACAAGUAUAAGCAUAAUGGUAGUGAGUAUGUCCACUAGAUGCAUGGGGAGAAUGGAUAGUGGCUUAUUUUUGGUUCCGUGUAUACCUCCUCGAAACAGCAUUUUAAAAAGGAUGGCGGACUUAUGCUUGUGCUUAUGU